rnacentral:lncRNA from 1 species
UUUGAUGUUAUAUUUGAAUUGAUCUUAGACGUCUAUCGAACAUCCAACUAAUAAUGUAAACUAAUAAACAAAAGAUAGUGGUCAAUUAAUUUAUCAAAAUAUCAAACUAAAUCUUAUCAAUAAUCAUAGAAACGUAGAUUGAUAUUUAUGUGAAAAUGGAUCAAUACAUACUACUUUCCUAGGUUGCCAUCUUCAAAGAUGGGUUUGCG